rnacentral:tRNA from 1 species
CGGCCGCAUGGCAUGGCCCGACACGCUGUUUUCGACACAGCCCAGCCGCAGUUCCAGCCGCAGCGGCAGG